UACGUAGGGUGCGAGCGUUAAUCGGAAUUACUGGGCGUAAAGCGUGCGCAGGCGGUUCGUUGUGUCGGCGGUGAAAGCCCCGGGCUUAACCUGGGAAUGGCCGUUGAAACUGGCGAACUGGAGUGUGGCAGAGGGGGGUGGAAUUCCGCGUGUAGCAGUGAAAUGCGCAGAUAUCAGGAGGAACACCGACGGCGAAGGCAGGUCUCUGGGCCGAUACUGACGCUGAGGAGCGAAAGCGUGGGGAGCGAACAGG
rnacentral:rRNA from 1 species